UAAAUGUAUGCACAUAAAUCCAUAUGUGGUCAUCUUCUUCCUGUCUUCAACCCCACCUCUCCCUCCUCAACCAACCUCUAUCACCACCACUACCAUAUCCCAGCCGCCGCCAUCAAAUCGAGCCAUAACACCACCACUGACUGCAUCUUCUCGACCCUCACACCAAGCAUCUCGCUGGAGCUUCAAUACAAACCGAUUUUAGGGCUCGAAUAUGAUACCGGAGAUGAUAGUGGAGAGGUUGUUGCGGAUUACGGUAGCGAUGAGGUGGUGGGAGUGUCGGAGAGAUUGUUGCGCAGAUCUGAGGCAGGUUGAAGGAGGCCUGAAACAUAUUUCUCUGCGCAGAUCUGAGGUUUAGAUCUGAUGCAGUUUGAAAGAGACCUGUCACCUCUCUUGCCACAAUAUCAUCUGCUUUCGGAUCUUGUUGAGCCGAUGAUGGGAUGUGAAUGCUCUCAUAUGUUACACUCUUUCCCUCUCUCUUCUAGAUAUGUAUCUAUAUCUACACAUCUGAAUCUCUCUAGGCCAAUGAAGAUCUUGUUCUUGUUCUGCUUAUAAUAAUAUUUUGCAAUUCAACGAUACCCACAAAAGUUUCACCAAUAUUUUGCAAAAAUUGGAUCUUUUUUAUGAGUAUUCAACAAAACCCAUAAAUAUGUCACCCAAUUUAACAAAACCUACAAACAAUUUGAACAAAUAUUUAUAAAAAUUGGUUCUUUUUUAUGAGUUUUAACAGUUCUUUCAAGAUUGUGUCAGGCGAAGAGGAUUGAUGGUGAGAAUAUUAGGAGCCCUAAUCUUGCGUCUCUCAACAUCAACAGAUUUACUCCGGCGAAACUCUGGCGCCGACAUCAUUGUAGAUGCGUCAACAACAACAUCCUUGCGUCUCUCAACAGAAACAUAUUUGGUGACGGGACGGGUUUGUGGGUGCGACAUCAUUGAGGGAACCGAUGGAGGUGUGUAACGCAGAUAACUUUCUCAUUGGGUUUCUGUAUGAAACUGAUGUAAAAGGUAAUUUGGUGGUUAGCUGGUCAUUUGGUGGAGGUAGGGGGUAGCUGGUGAUUAUGGUGGUAAAGGUGGUAAAGGUGGUGGUAGCUGGUGCUUUUAUGGUGGUCAGGUGGUGUUCCCUAAUGAAGAAGAAGGUAGUUCUUGAGAGAGAUUGAGUUAUAUGUUAAAAGUUUUAUUGUUCAAAUUUAUUAAAGAUAAAUAAAUGAGUAAAAUUACCAAUAUACCCUCAUGUGCUAGGCACAUGUCAAACUUAACUGAAAAUUUUAACCAGGUUAGGGCUAAAGGACGUAGAGUGUAAUGGGUUUUCCAAAUAAAGGACUAUGAUUGUAAUUAUUGAAGUUAAAGGCUAUCCACUGCAACCCGCUACAAACAUAAAGGACGAAAAGUGUAAUUUAUCCUUUUUUUUUUUUUUGGUUUUCUACGAUAACAUGGUUUUAGGGUUUUAAUUUUCCAAAUAUGCUCAAAAUUAACUACUACAACAUAUAUUUUGGAAUUCAUGUUUUGUUGCAAUAAUUUGUCAUUUAUUUGGGGUUUGUUUGGAUGUACAGCAAAUGUGAUAGUUAUAUUAUAUGUCAUUGAUUUGGAGGUGUUUGGAUGUACUGCAAAAGGGAUUCUUCUUUUGGUGAAAGGAUCAAUUUGUAUUUUUUGGUUAAAGGGAUUCAGACCUGGACAAGUAUUUUGUUCUCUUCCAUCAACAUUGCUUCCAGCACAUUUAGGUUUUCGAUUAAAUGUUGAUUUUUGGUUGAAAAUUUUGGGCAGAUGUGUUGUUGAUAUCUUACGAGGGUUUCAAAUGGUUCUGAUAGAUGAAACACUUGGAGUACAGCUUCAGAUGUACCACUUAUCAUUAAAAUUCAUUAUAAUUUUUGGAAAAAAAAUAUAUUAGUGUGUUUCUUUGCCAGGUGCUCCGAAGUCUCACACCACUCUCACUUCUAUAGAUUAGGAUUGUUGCUUCUUUUAUGCUCAAUUGGUUUUACCGUACUCUAGCUAUUAUGGUAAUUGAUUCCCCUUAUAUUUAAUUACUGAUUUUACAUGGUUAAAAUUUAGUUAAUUUGUUUGCAGUGUAAGUUCUCUAGUGGCUUUGACUGUUCAGGACCUUCAUGUGACACAUUAUAUCAUUAAAUAAGAUUCUUUUUUACAUAUUAGGCAUUAUGCUGCAUAUAUGUCGAGUUAAAGAAAUAUUUGUAGACGGUUCCAUUUCUGCAUUUUUUAAAACAUGUAGUUUGUCUAAGUAAGCAUUACUUUAUGAUUCCCAAUUUUCUUUUAUAUUGCAUACAGUCUUCAUGUUGUGAUUACUGGUGAUCUUCAUUUAUAGUGUUCAUCAGUUGAUGAAAAUAAAUAACAGGAAAUUUAUGAUAUGAGACCUGGUAGCAUGGAUAGGCCUAUGCUUUAAAGAAUUUCUAUGUUUGGGAUCUUGGUUUACUUCAAUGCCCCUCAGGUUGGGGAAGAAUAUAUGAAUGGCAUUCAUGAAGAAUGGUCGAGUUAUGCGGCGACAACUAUUAUUUUUAUAUGACAAAUUGUAUUUUAAGUGUUGAUGAAUGUAUUGACAAGCAAUAUAUUUGCUAAUGUUAAAAUGUUUGUAGUAUAAAUGACAAAUGAUUAUGCAA